AACGAACGCUGGCGGCAUGCCUAACACAUGCAAGUCGAACGAAGCCUUCGGGCUUAGUGGCGCACGGGUGCGUAACGCGUGGGAAUCUGCCCCUUGCUUCGGAAUAACAGUUAGAAAUGACUGCUAAUACCGGAUGAUGUCUUCGGACCAAAGAUUUAUCGGCAAGGGAUGAGCCCGCGUAGGAUUAGGUAGUUGGUGGGGUAAAGGCCUACCAAGCCGACGAUCCUUAGCUGGUCUGAGAGGAUGAUCAGCCACACUGGGACUGAGACACGGCCCAGACUCCUACGGGAGGCAGCAGUGGGGAAUAUUGGACAAUGGACGCAAGUCUGAUCCAGCAAUGCCGCGUGAGUGAUGAAGGCCUUAGGGUUGUAAAGCUCUUUUACCAGGGAUGAUAAUGACAGUACCUGGAGAAUAAGCUCCGGCUAACUCCGUGCCAGCCGCCGCAGUAAUAC
rnacentral:rRNA from 1 species